GUGAGGAAUAUUGCGCAAUGGAGGCAACUCUGACGCAGCCAUGCCGCGUGCAGGAAGAAGGCGCUACGCGUUGUAAACUGCUUUUAACCGGGAAGAAACCCCAGGACGUGUCCUGGGUUGACGGUACCGGAGGAAUAAGCACCGGCUAACUUCGUGCCAGCAGCCGCGGUAAUACGAAGGGUGCAAGCGUUAUCCGGAUUCAUUGGGUUUAAAGGGUGCGUAGGCGGAUCGUUAAGUCAGUGGUGAAAUCCGGCAGCUUAACUGUAGACUUGCCAUUGAUACUGGCGCUCUUGAGUGCGCUUGAAGUGGGCGGAAUGUGCCGUGUAGCGGUGAAAUGCUUAGAUAUGGCACAGAACACCAAUUGCGAAGGCAGCUCACUAAGGCGAUACUGACGCUGAGGCACGAAAGCGUGGGGAUCGAACAGGAUUAGAAACCCGGGUAGUCC
rnacentral:rRNA from 1 species